rnacentral:rRNA from 1 species
CCGAGUUGUAAUUUGUAGAGGGUAGCUCGAGCCCGCCCCCGUCUAAGUCCCCUGGAACGGGGCGUCGUAGAGGGUGAGAAUCCCGUAUGCGACGGGGUGGCGUGCUCGUGUGAGCUCCCUUCGACGAGUCGAGUUGUUUGGGAAUGCAGCUCUAAAUGGGAGGUAAAUUCCUUCUAAAGCUAAAUACCGGCCAGAGACCGAUAGCGCACAAGUAGAGUGAUCGAAAGAUGAAAAGCACUUUGGAAAGAGAGUUAAAAAGCACGUGAAAUUGUUGAAAGGGAAGCGCUCACGACCAGACUCGGGUGCGGCUGCUCAGCCGGUCUUCUGACCGGUGCAUCGGUUGUACCCGGGCCAGCAUCGGUUCGGGCGGUCGGAUAAAGGUCUCGGGAACGUAGCUCCUCUCGGGGAGUGUUAUAGCCCGGGGCGCAAUGCGGCCUGCCCGGACCGAGGAACGCGUUCGCUAGGAUGCUGGCGUAAUGGUCGUUAGCGGCCCGUCUUGAAACACGGACCAAGGAGUCUACCAUCUGUGCGAGUAUUAGGGUGUCAAACCCUUGUGCGUAAUGAAAGUGAACGGAGGUGGGAACCCUUUGGGUGCACCAUCGACCGAUCCAGAUGUCCUCGGACGGAUUUGAGUAAGAGCACCGCUGGUGGGACCCGAAAGAUGGUGAACUAUGCGCGGAUAGGGUGAAGCCAGAGGAAACUCUGGUGGAGGCUCGCAGCGGUUCUGACGUGCAAAUCGAUCGUCA